CGCGUUCCGGGACCCGGCGGAGGAAGGGAAGGCCUGGCUGUCCAGCGGAAUCCGCCUGGACGCACGGACCUCGCGGACCCGACCGGAGCAGCUCUUCGGGCCCUGGCGUGGACCCUUCUCCCAGAGGCACAUGCCCAGAACCCAGCAAUGGCCAAUGGGACCCUGAUGGCCGAGGGCCAGAUGGAGUCUCGCUCUGUCGCCCAGGCUAGAGUACAAUGGCAUGGUCUCGGCUCACUGCAUCACUGCAACCUCUACCUCCCAGGUUCAAGCGAUUCUCCUACCUCACCCUCCCAAGUGGCUGGGAUUACAGGCGUGUGCCACCACACCCAGCUAAUUUUUGUAUUUUUAGUAGAGACAGGGUUUCACCAUGUUGGCCAGGCUGGUCUCGAACUGCUGACCUCGUGAUCUACCUGCCUCGGCCUCCCAAAGUGCUGGGAUUACAGGUGCGGGCCACUGCGCCGGCCAUGUUUCUCGACGUCUGCUGGCAAGCACGUUCCAGUAUUCGCAUGGCUCCUAGCCCUCAUCUCCAUUUCUCUGCACAGAUGUUACCUUCCCCAUGAGGUCUGCCUUAUACAUGAGGCCUGUAUUAUCAACUGCAAGUCCCCAUUCCCCAACCCCGUUGUUUCUUCUCUCCAGAACACUAGGCACCAUCUGAUCUACUAUGCCUUUUCCUUAUUGUCAGAUACUGAACUCUCAGAUACAGUUCCCCUUCCUCCCUCCAGGGGGCGCCACGGAACGCAGGGCCCUCACUGGCCCUGGGGACUGGGUGACGUCAGGGGUGAGCCUCUUGUGACUGCCUCCCUCACCCUGCGUAAGCUCAAAGGGACUAAAGGUCAGCCCCGACACCCGGAGCCAUUGUGGCUCCGGCCGGUUGUGCCUGCCCUCGGGCCCUCACGGAGGCGGGGGUUCCAGGGCACGAGUUCGAGGCCAGCCUGGUCCACAUUGGUUGCAGAAAAGAAUUCUUUUUAUCGUUCCCUAUAUAACAACAAAACAUAAAGGGAGGACGCCUUGAUAGGGAGAAAUGACAUCUUCCUAAGCGUUUUUAAAUUACUUCAAUGUAUCUUUUUUUUUUUUUUUUUUUUUUUUUGGGAGACCGAGGCUUGCUCUGUUGCCCAGGCUGGAGUGCAGUGGUGUGAUCUUGGCUCACUGCAACCUCCGCCUCGUCGGUUCAAGGGAGUCUCCUAUCUCAGCCUCCUGAGUAGCUGGGAUUACAGUCGCCUGCCAAGAGAUGGGGUUUCGCCAUGUUGACCAGGCUGGUCUUGAACACCUGGCCUCAAAUGAUCCACUCGCCUUGGUCUCCCAAAGUGGUAGGAUGACAGGCGUGAGCCACCGCGCCCAGCCUCUUCUAUUCUUUUAGAGACAGGGUCUCACUCUGUUGCCCAGGCUGGAGUGCAUUGAUGUGAUGUGUGAUCAUAGCUCAUUGCAGCCCUGACCAUCCGAGCUCAAGCAAUCCUUCUGCCUCAGCCUCCCGAGUAGCUGGGGCCGCAGAUGUGCACCACUGCACCUGGCUAAUUUUUAACAUUUUUGUGGAGCCAGAGUCUGUAUAAAAUAAAGUGUAAAUAGUACCAUAAAUAAAGUAUACAUAGUACCAUUUUAUAGUAGUAUAAAACGGACAUUAGAAACUCUGAACUUCAAGGUGAAAAAAAUACACAAAAGUAGUUCUCAAGUUCUAGAGACUUGGAGAAUCCAGGAAUCAACAAUGUCGUGGAACUCCUACAGCCUUUCAUAAAGAAUGGCCCUCGAGGAAAGUGGAAUUGUCAGUGGGCAUUGUGUUGGUGCCUCAGCUAAACGCGGCAGGAAUUUAUUUAUAACCUAGUGUAACAUCCUCGAGGCACUGUUCAAUUAUUCAAGCAAUUGUAAAAUUCUCCCAGUCUUAGAAAAGAUACAGGUGUGUGUCCCUCUGCUGUGGCUGUGCACUGAGGCUUCAGUAAAAGUUGCCGUCUAAAACCACCGGCCUGCCCUUGAAUUCUUUUUUUUUUUUUUUUUUUUUGAGAUGGAGUCUCACUCUAUCACCCAGGCUGGAGUGCAGUGACACGAUCUCUGCUCGUUGCAACCUCCGCCUCCCGGUUGAAUGAUAUUGAGAUGUAAAAAACCAUACAAAAGAUCAAUGAAACCCAAAGUUGAUUUUUUAAAAAAAUUAUUUAUUUAUUAUUUAUUCCAUAAAUUAUUGGGGUACAGGUGGUGUUUGGUUACCUAAGCUCUUUAGCGGUGAUUUGUGAUUUUGGUGCACCCGUCACCUGAGCAGUAUACACUACACCCUAUUUGUUGUCUUUUAUCCCUCGCCCCCGCCAACUCGUCCCCCUAAGUCCCCAAAGUCCAUUGUAUCAUUCUUACGCCUUUGCGUCCUCAUAGCUUAGCUCCCACAUAUCAGUGAGAACAUACGAUGUUUGGUUUUCCAUUCCGGAGUUACUUCACUUAGAAUAAUAGUCUCCAGUCUCCUCCAGGUCACUGCAAAUGCUGUUAAUUCAUAAAAAGUUGAUAUUUUCGAAGGCAUAAAUAACAUUGAAAGACCACUAGCUAGAUUAAUAAAGGCAAAAAGACAAGAUCCAAAUAAACACAAUCAGAAAUGACAGAGGUGACAUUACCACCGACCCACAGACAUACAAGAAACCCUGAGACUAUUCCACAUGCCUCUAUGCACACAAACUAGAAAACUAGAAGAAAUAGAUAAAUUCCUGGAAACAUCAAACCUCUCAAGAUUGAACCAGGAAGAAAUGGCAACCCUGAACAAACCAACGGUGAGUUCCAAAAUUGAGUUAGUCAUACAAAACGUACCAACCAAAACAAAAGCCUUAGACUAGACGGAUCCACAGUCGAAUUCUACCAGAUGUGUAAAGAAAAGCCGGCACCAAUCCUACUGAAAUUAUUCCACAAAAUUCAGGAGGAGCAACUGCUCUCGAACUCAUUCUAUGAGGUCAGAGUCAUUCUGAUACCGAAACCUGGCAGAGACACAACGAAAAAAGAAAAAUAGGUAAAGUAAUACAUAUGCUAAUGAUCUUGAUUUAGCCAUUCUACGGUAUAUACAUAUUUCAAAACAAUAUGUACAUGAUAAAUAUGUACAAUUUGUCAAUUAAAAAUAUAUAAAAGGAAUAGGAAAAAAUUCAAAUGGCGCAGAAUUUGAAAGGAGAAGAUACAGAACAAACUCCAGUGUCUUCUUUAUUCAACUAUAUAUACACACAUUCAAUGGACCGGGAGCAGUGGCUCAAGCCUGUAAUCACAGCACUUUGGGAGGUCAAGGCGGGCGGAUCACCUGAGGUCGGGAGUUCGAGACCGGCCUGGCCAACAUAGAGAAACCCCAGCUCUACUAAAAAUACAAAAUUAGCCGGGCAUGCUGGUGCAUGCCUGUAAUCCCAGCUACUCGGGAGGCUGAGGCAGGAGAACCGCUUGAACUCAAGAGGUGGAGGUGUGGAGGUUGUGGUGAGCCGAGAUGGCACCAUUGCGCUCCAGCCUGGGAAACAAGAGCGAAACUCAGUCUCAAAAAAAAAAAAAAAAAAAAAAGGAUUUAAUGAAUGAAUGAUGAGACCGUUGGUGACAUCUCCCACCUUCUCCCUCUCACUCCACUGCAGUCACACGGGGCUCCUCACUGUUCCCGUAGCAGCAGGCAUGUGCCCGCACAGGGCCUCUGUACUGGCUGUUCCCACUGCCCGAACCCCCUCAUGCACCAUCUGCGCUGUCCAAUACGGCCGCCUCUGGCCACACAUGGCUACUGAGCAGUUGAACAUGGCUGGCCCAAACCAAGAUUUCCAAUACGUCGUAUGGUUAAAAAAAAAACAUAAAAUCUUGCAAAAAUGUUUCUAUUGAUUAUGUUAAAAUUAUGAUGUUUUAGGUAUAUUAGGUUAAAUCAGCUAUUUUAUCAAAAUGAAUGUCACCUGUUUGUUUUUGCUUUUUUUUUUUUUUUUUUUUUGAGAUGGAGUCUCGCUCUGUCGCCCAGGCUAGAGUACAAUGGCAUGGUCUCGGCUCACUGCAUCACUGCAACCUCUACCUCCCAGGUUCAAGCGAUUCUCCUACCUCACCCUCCCAAGUGGCUGGGAUUACAGGCGUGUGCCACCACACCCAGCUAAUUUUUGUAUUUUUAGUAGAGACAGGGUUUCACCAUGUUGGCCAGGCUGGUCUCGAACUGCUGACCUCGUGAUCUACCUGCCUCGGCCUCCCAAAGUGCUGGGAUUACAGGUGCGGGCCACUGCGCCGGCCAUGUUUCUCGACGUCUGCUGGCAAGCACGUUCCAGUAUUCGCAUGGCUCCUAGCCCUCAUCUCCAUUUCUCUGCACAGAUGUUACCUUCCCCAUGAGGUCUGCCUUAUACAUGAGGCCUGUAUUAUCAACUGCAAGUCCCCAUUCCCCAACCCCGUUGUUUCUUCUCUCCAGAACACUAGGCACCAUCUGAUCUACUAUGCCUUUUCCUUAUUGUCAGAUACUGAACUCUCAGAUACAGUUCCCCUUCCUCCCUCCAGGGGGCGCCACGGAACGCAGGGCCCUCACUGGCCCUGGGGACUGGGUGACGUCAGGGGUGAGCCUCUUGUGACUGCCUCCCUCACCCUGCGUAAGCUCAAAGGGACUAAAGGUCAGCCCCGACACCCGGAGCCAUUGUGGCUCCGGCCGGUUGUGCCUGCCCUCGGGCCCUCACGGAGGCGGGGGUUCCAGGGCACGAGUUCGAGGCCAGCCUGGUCCACAUUGGUUGCAGAAAAGAAUUCUUUUUAUCGUUCCCUAUAUAACAACAAAACAUAAAGGGAGGACGCCUUGAUAGGGAGAAAUGACAUCUUCCUAAGCGUUUUUAAAUUACUUCAAUGUAUCUUUUUUUUUUUUUUUUUUUUUUUUUUUGGGAGACCGAGGCUUGCUCUGUUGCCCAGGCUGGAGUGCAGUGGUGUGAUCUUGGCUCACUGCAACCUCCGCCUCGUCGGUUCAAGGGAGUCUCCUAUCUCAGCCUCCUGAGUAGCUGGGAUUACAGUCGCCUGCCAAGAGAUGGGGUUUCGCCAUGUUGACCAGGCUGGUCUUGAACACCUGGCCUCAAAUGAUCCACUCGCCUUGGUCUCCCAAAGUGGUAGGAUGACAGGCGUGAGCCACCGCGCCCAGCCUCUUCUAUUCUUUUAGAGACAGGGUCUCACUCUGUUGCCCAGGCUGGAGUGCAUUGAUGUGAUGUGUGAUCAUAGCUCAUUGCAGCCCUGACCAUCCGAGCUCAAGCAAUCCUUCUGCCUCAGCCUCCCGAGUAGCUGGGGCCGCAGAUGUGCACCACUGCACCUGGCUAAUUUUUAACAUUUUUGUGGAGCCAGAGUCUGUAUAAAAUAAAGUGUAAAUAGUACCAUAAAUAAAGUAUACAUAGUACCAUUUUAUAGUAGUAUAAAACGGACAUUAGAAACUCUGAACUUCAAGGUGAAAAAAAUACACAAAAGUAGUUCUCAAGUUCUAGAGACUUGGAGAAUCCAGGAAUCAACAAUGUCGUGGAACUCCUACAGCCUUUCAUAAAGAAUGGCCCUCGAGGAAAGUGGAAUUGUCAGUGGGCAUUGUGUUGGUGCCUCAGCUAAACGCGGCAGGAAUUUAUUUAUAACCUAGUGUAACAUCCUCGAGGCACUGUUCAAUUAUUCAAGCAAUUGUAAAAUUCUCCCAGUCUUAGAAAAGAUACAGGUGUGUGUCCCUCUGCUGUGGCUGUGCACUGAGGCUUCAGUAAAAGUUGCCGUCUAAAACCACCGGCCUGCCCUUGAAUUCUUUUUUUUUUUUUUUUUUUUUGAGAUGGAGUCUCACUCUAUCACCCAGGCUGGAGUGCAGUGACACGAUCUCUGCUCGUUGCAACCUCCGCCUCCCGGUUGAAUGAUAUUGAGAUGUAAAAAACCAUACAAAAGAUCAAUGAAACCCAAAGUUGAUUUUUUAAAAAAAUUAUUUAUUUAUUAUUUAUUCCAUAAAUUAUUGGGGUACAGGUGGUGUUUGGUUACCUAAGCUCUUUAGCGGUGAUUUGUGAUUUUGGUGCACCCGUCACCUGAGCAGUAUACACUACACCCUAUUUGUUGUCUUUUAUCCCUCGCCCCCGCCAACUCGUCCCCCUAAGUCCCCAAAGUCCAUUGUAUCAUUCUUACGCCUUUGCGUCCUCAUAGCUUAGCUCCCACAUAUCAGUGAGAACAUACGAUGUUUGGUUUUCCAUUCCGGAGUUACUUCACUUAGAAUAAUAGUCUCCAGUCUCCUCCAGGUCACUGCAAAUGCUGUUAAUUCAUAAAAAGUUGAUAUUUUCGAAGGCGUAAAUAACAUUGAAAGACCACUAGCUAGAUUAAUAAAGGCAAAAAGACAAGAUCCAAAUAAACACAAUCAGAAAUGACAGAGGUGACAUUACCACCGACCCACAGACAUACAAGAAACCCUGAGACUAUUCCACAUGCCUCUAUGCACACAAACUAGAAAACUAGAAGAAAUAGAUAAAUUCCUGGAAACAUCAAACCUCUCAAGAUUGAACCAGGAAGAAAUGGCAACCCUGAACAAACCAACGGUGAGUUCCAAAAUUGAGUUAGUCAUACAAAACGUACCAACCAAAACAAAAGCCUUAGACUAGACGGAUCCACAGUCGAAUUCUACCAGAUGUGUAAAGAAAAGCCGGCACCAAUCCUACUGAAAUUAUUCCACAAAAUUCAGGAGGAGCAACUGCUCUCGAACUCAUUCUAUGAGGUCAGAGUCAUUCUGAUACCGAAACCUGGCAGAGACACAACGAAAAAAGAAAAA